CUCUUAUGGAGAGUUUGAUCCUGGCUCAGGACGAACGCUGGCGGCAUGCCUAAUACAUGCAAGUCGAG
rnacentral:rRNA from 1 species